AACAAGGCGUACCUGCGGACCUGCGGAAGGAUCAUUAACCGUUACAAACAGUGUGUGAUGCGGCCGCCGAGGUGAAUAGCCUCUGGUUGGUAUGGGGUUCGCCCCUUCACGCUCACGCGUCUGCCAUCCUUACUUUACGAGCACCUUCUGUUCUCCCUCGGCAAGGGCCUCGCCCUGCCGUUGGAACUACAAAACUCCUUUUUGCAUCUAGCAUUACCUGUUCCGACAAAAACAAUCGUU
rnacentral:misc_RNA from 1 species